rnacentral:rRNA from 1 species
GACGAACGCUGGCGGCGUGCUUAACACAUGCAAGUCGAACGGAAAGGCCCUGCUUUUGUGGGGUGCUCGAGUGGCGAACGGGUGAGUAACACGUGAGUAACCUGCCCUUGACUUUGGGAUAACUUCAGGAAACUGGGGCUAAUACCGGAUAGGAGCUACUGCUGCAUGGUGGGGGUUGGAAAGUUUCGGCGGUUGGGGCUGGAUUCGCGGCUUAUCAGCUUGUUGGGGGGGUAGUGGCUUACCAAGGCUUUGACGGGUAGCCCGCCUGAGAGGGUGACCGGCCACAUUGGGACUGAGAUACGGCCCAGACUCCGACGGGAGGCAGCAGUGGGGAAUAUUGCACAAUGGGCGGAAGCCGGAUGCAGCAACGCCGCGUGCGGGAUGACGGCCUUCGGGUUGUAAACCGCUUUCGCCUGUGACGAAGCGUGAGUGACGGUAAUGGGUAAAGAAGCACCGGCUAACUACGUG